UCUCGAUUGGUCUAGUGGUCAGGAUACCUGCUUGUCAUUCUUCGAUGAUUAAUCUCAUCUGAGGUCAAAUGCGCAGGUGGCCGGGGUUCGAUUCCCCGAUCGAGAG